rnacentral:lncRNA from 1 species
UAAAAUGUAUUAAUAAAUUUGAUUAAGUAAAUGUUUAAGUAAGUGAGUAAGUGAAGAAGUUUAAAAUAUGUCUAUGACAAUUAAUGAAGUUGCAUUAAGUAGUAUCAUGCUAAGUAGUAAGAUAAUUCUUAUGAAUGUUGUUAUUUAUUUGUAUGCAACUUACUAAGCUUAAUGCUUACCCCCUUUAUUUUCCUUCUUUUUAUAGUUUUUU